rnacentral:tRNA from 37 species
GGUUUUAUAGUGUAGUGGUUAUCACUUCUGGUUUUGAUCCAGACAACCCGAGUUCGAAUCUCGGUAAGACCU